UACGAAGGGGGCUAGCGUUGCUCGGAAUCACUGGGCGUAAAGGGCGCGUAGGCGGGCCUCCAAGUCCGGGGUGAAAGCCUCCAGCCUAACUGGAGAAGCGCCUCGGAGACUGGGGGCCUCGAGGGAGGUAGGGGCAAGCGGAACUAUGGGUGGAGCGGUGAAAUGCAUUGAUAUCCAUAGGAACUCCGGUGGCGAAGGCGGCUUGCUGGACCUCUUCUGACGCUGAGGCGCGAAAGCCAGGGGAGCAAACGGG
rnacentral:rRNA from 1 species